UACGUAGGGUGCGAGCGUUGUCCGGAAUUAUUGGGCGUAAAGGGCUCGUAGGCGGUUUGUCGCGUCGGGAGUGAAAACCUUGGGCUUAACUCAGGGCUUGCUUUCGAUACGGGCAGACUAGAGGUAUGCAGGGGAGAACGGAAUUCCUGGUGUAGCGGUGAAAUGCGCAGAUAUCAGGAGGAACACCGGUGGCGAAGGCGGUUCUCUGGGCAUGAUCUGACGCUGAGGGGCGAAAGUGUGGGGAGCGAACAGG
rnacentral:rRNA from 1 species